UACGUAGGUGGCGAGCGUUGUCCGGAUUUACUGGGCGUAAAGAGCGUGCAGGCGGCUGGUCAAGUCCGAUGUGAAAGCUCCCGGCUUAACUGGGAAAUUGCAUCGGAAACUGAUCGGCUGGAAGGUGGGAGAGGGUAGCGGAAUUCCCGGUGUAGUGGUGAAAUGCGUAGAUAUCGGGAGGAACACCAGUGGCGAAAGCGGCUACCUGGCCCAUUCUUGACGCUGAGGCGCGAAAGCUAGGGGAGCAAACGGG
rnacentral:rRNA from 1 species